GCUUUAAUGUAAAAGCACCUACACCCAGGCCCCCCCCCUCCCCACGAACAGCUUCGUGGACAGUUUACUCAGACUGAGUCGAAGGUAAUUUUAAGGUAGUUUCGGGAUAUUACCCAAGUAUGGCCCAGCUGGAAGGUGGACAUCCGGGGGAGGGCUCAGAAACACCAAAGUCCAACCUUCUCCACCUCACAGAUGGAGAAACUGAGCCCCAGAGAGAGAAGUCAGCUGAGCCUCCCCCAGAUAAGACAAUCACCAGAUAUUCUGGGACCUUGCUGGGGGCAGACAGCCCUCCCUGCCCGGCAAUGGGCCUUUGGGAUGUGGCACAAGCUCCCGGGAAACCUGGAGUGACAAGGGCGCCUGUCCCUGAGGAGCGGAGUUGGUGCUGAGUCAGCCCUGAUGUGGCAGAGGAGGAGCAGGCCCCUGCAGAACCAGGGAAACGUCAUCACCGCUCAACCAGCCCAACCCUGGAGUGCUGUGGAAGCCGCUCUCAGAUCCCUUGGCAGCCCCCCAGGUGCAGGUCGUGGCUGCCCCUGCCCUGCUCAGUCCCUGCACAGCCACCAGCUGGCUGCCUGGGACCCCUUGAAGCCAGGCCUGAGGACCUACCCACCACGCCUGCUUCAGCACCCUCAGCUCCGCUCCCUCACAGCCAGCUCAGGCCACCUGGGGAGGCGCUCUUGCCCCCAGCCCCGCCCUCUGGAAGAGCU
rnacentral:antisense_RNA from 1 species